AUUGAACGCUGGCGGCAUGCCUCACACAUGCAAGUCGAACGGUAACGGGCCUUCGGGUGCCGACGAGUGGCGAACGGGUGAGUAAUGCAUCGGAACGUACCUUUCAGUGGGGGAUAACGUAGCGAAAGUUACGCUAAUACCGCAUAUUCUGUGAGCAGGAAAGCAGGGGAUCGCAAGACCUUGCGCUGAUUGAGCGGCCGAUGUCAGAUUAGCUAGUUGGUGAGGUAAAGGCUCACCAAGGCGACGAUCUGUAGCGGGUCUGAGAGGAUGAUCCGCCACACUGGAACUGAGACACGGUCCAGACUCCUACGGGAGGCAGCAGUGGGGAAUUUUGGACAAUGGGGGCAACCCUGAUCCAGCCAUGCCGCGUGAGUGAAGAAGGCCUCGGUUGU
rnacentral:rRNA from 1 species